rfam:Stegodyphus mimosarum contig52556, whole genome shotgun sequence.
GCCUUCGUGGUGUAAUGGUAGCACACACGACUCGUAUUCCAAAGGUCAAGGGUUCGAGUCCCGAUGAAGGCA